ACUCCUACGGGAGGCAGCAGUAGGGAAUCUUCCACAAUGGACGAAAGUCUGAUGGAGCAACGCCGCGUGAACGAUGAAGGCUUUCGGGUCGUAAAGUUCUGUUGUAAGGGAAGAACAAGUGCCGCAGGCAAUGGCGGCACCUUGACGGUACCUUGCGAGAAAGCCACGGCUAACUACGUGCCAGCAGCCGCGGUAAUACGUAGGUGGCAAGCGUUGUCCGGAAUUAUUGGGCGUAAAGCGCGCGCAGGCGGCCUCUUAAGUCUGAUGUGAAAGCCCCCCGGCUCAACCGGGGAGGGCCAUUGGAAACUGGGAGGCUUGAGUAUAGGAGAGAAGAGUGGAAUUCCACGUGUAGCGGUGAAAUGCGUAGAGAUGUGGAGGAACACCAGUGGCGAAGGCGACUCUUUGGCCUAUAACUGACGCUGAGGCGCGAAAGCGUGGGAGCAAACAGGAUUAGAUACCCCGUGGUAGGAUAGCG
rnacentral:rRNA from 1 species